rnacentral:rRNA from 1 species
GACGAACGCUGGCGGCGUGCUUAACACAUGCAAGUCGAACGGAAAGGCUCCAGCUUGCUGGGGUACUCGAGUGGCGAACGGGUGAGUAACACGUGGGUAAUCUGCCCUGCACUCUGGGAUAAGCCUGGGAAACUGGGUCUAAUACUGGAUAUGACCAUGCUCCUUAUGGGGUUUGGUGGAAAGUUUUUCGGUGUAGGAUGAGCCCGCGGCCUAUCAGCUUGUUGGUGGGGUGAUGGCCUACCAAGGCGACGACGGGUAGCCGGCCUGAGAGGGUGAUCGGCCACAUUGGGACUGAGAUACGGCCCAGACUCCUACGGGGGGCAGCAGUGGGGAAUAUUGCACAAUGGGCGGAAGCCUGAUGCAGCGACGCCGCGUGAGGGAAGACGGCCUUCGGGUUAUAAACCUCUUUCAGCAGGGACGAAGCGUAAGUGACGGUACCUGCAGAAGAAGCACCGGCUAACUACGUG